rnacentral:rRNA from 1 species
GGCCUAAUACAUGCAAGUCGAACGGUGUCUUCGGACAUAGUGGCGCACGGGUGCGUAACACGUAUGCAACCUACCUUACAUUGGGGGAUAGCCUUUCGAAAGGGAGAUUAAUACCGCAUAAGACAGUAGCUGGGCAUCCAGCAGCUGUUAAAGAUUUAUCGAUGUAAGCUGGGCAUGCGUCCAAUUAGCUAGUUGGUGAGGUAACGGCUCACCAAGGCAAUGAUUGGUAGGGGAACUGAGAGGUCAAUCCCCCACACUGGCACUGAGAUACGGGCCAGACUCCUACGGGAGGCAGCAGUAGGGAAUAUUGGGCAAUGGACGCAAGUCUGACCCAGCCAUGCCGCGUGCAGGAUGAAGGCGUUAUGCGUUGUAAACUGCUUUUAUACAGGAAGAAACGACUCUUGCGAGAGGCAUUGACGGUACUGUAUGAAUAAGCACCGGCUAACUCCGUGCCAGCAGCCGCGGUAAUACGGAGGGUGCAAGCGUUGUCCGGAUUUAUUGGGUUUAAAGGGUGCGCAGGUGGUUUAUUAAGUCAGUGGUGAAAGACGGUCGCACAACGAUUGCAGUGCCAUUGAAACUGGUAGACUUGAGUAAAGUAGAGGU